rnacentral:lncRNA from 1 species
UAAGUACUUUUAAACUUUUCUAGCCAGUUUAGGGUUUCGACACGGCGCUGCCUCCGUCGCCCACGACGAUGUUUCUUCUUAGCCUGGCCGUUUUCGGUUAGUUUUGGUUGGGUUUGGCCAGUUUUGCAUAAAAACCUGCGAAAACAAGGUUAGGGAGCCUCUAUCGGCCGGAAAAUGGAGGUCCUACUGACAGAGGGUUUCUCUAGUGCGAUGGCUCUGCCGUUUCUCUAUUGCGGUCAGGGUUUCUCAUCAGCUAACCUGCAUCAGAAAGAGACGAGGAACACUUGGUCAAAGAAUCAAAACAAAUGAAAAAUGGGAAGGGGCUCAUCAGAGAGGUUUUCGGGUUACGGCUGCGGCGAUUCGACCGAGCUCUGUUCGCAUUUUUCAGCUCACCUGUUGGCUG